UACAGAGGGGGCAAGCGUUAUUCGGAAUUAUUGGGCGUAAAGGGCGCGUAGGCGGCCAUUCAAGUGACGGGUGAAAGCCCUCGGCUUAACCGAGGAACUGCCUGUCAGACUGGAUGGCUUGAGACCGGGAGAGGUGAGUGGAAUUCCCAGUGUAGCGGUGAAAUGCGUAGAUAUCAGGAGGAACACCGGUGGCGAAGGCGGGUCUCUGGGCCGAUACUGACGCUGAGGAGCGAAAGCGUGGGGAGCGAACAGG
rnacentral:rRNA from 1 species